UCCCCGCCGAGCCGAGCGGCCGUCGCAGUCGCACCGCUGGCAGUUACCACCCCCCCCCCAGUCGCGAGUGGCAGACGCCAUUAACCGCCCCUUGGCGGGCAGCACCUCUCGCAGCGCCGGGCACCCGCGGUUUUGAAGCUUAAAAAGGUGGGACACUGAAACCAGCCACAACAUCACCACCAAAACCAGAUGCUGGCCUGUCUGCUCAUCCAAGUCUGCUGUCCACGCUCUGGGCCUUGUGAAUUACCACAGGUUUUUCCCUACCACAUUGCAAACUACUCAGCCCACAGUGAGAAAGCUGGACCAGGCAAGCUGAAGAGUGCACAUCUGGAGAGAAUAUUUCAGGUACUACAAUUCCGGCUGCAAUAAUAGCAAAAUUCUCCACAGAUCAAGCUGUCUCAAGAUUGUGAAGCACUGCCUCUUCCAGAGCUGCCUCCUUCCAGGGAACUCUGACAUGUCUGGCCAGGAACUCAACCCAAGAUGAGAAGUGGCACAAAAAGUUGCUGCCAGAUGGAUGUGUGCAAUGCUGCCAUCACACAAGCAGAUGCAUCAGGACAGAAAAGAGUCCAUAGUCAUGUAUCCUAGCUUUGUGUACCAUAAUAGUUCUGCUACACUGUUACAUUUACUAAACACAACAUAGUUUGCUCAUACCUUUAACACAUUAGUCAUCUUCCUGACAUAUAUACCCCUUCCCCACAAUCAUUUUCACUGAAAACUUCAAGUCUACCUAUGCCAGUUGAAGUUCCAUCUAAUCUAUUCCCCCCCCCCAAUUCCCUACCUUUAAUUGAUCAAGCCUUUCAAAGCUGUCAGUAUCAGGACUCUGGAUAUAUAACUUCAAAGAAGAUCAAUAUAACCAUGUACACAAGCUUCACCUGCCAUGAGCUCUAAAAAUAUCCUGGUUUACAGCUUAAACAAAUUAAAGUAAAAGAUGGAAAGUGACUUCACCUGUGGCUUCUUCAGCAGGCAUCUGUUAUGUUAACAUUUGCCAAAGUUCUUGCAGAUCCAUUUCUGCAGAGGAGGUCUCUUGCAGAGCAGUACUAUAUCCUGAGUAAACGUGCUGUUCACUGCUGAUAGUUUCUGCAAAGAUUAAUCACUUUUUUGAUGCAAAGCUCAAACACAACCUCAAAAUAGGGAAGAAGGGCAAUCCACCCCUAUCAGUCAAUGAAAAGACCUUUCCUUCAGCAGCUUAUCAGUGUUUCUGUGGCUUUUUCACUCACAUCUUGAGCAUGGUACUUACAGCAUGACAUGCAGCAGGAAUCUUAGUAAAUUAGAUUAACUAAUCACACAAACAUUGCCAGCCCUCACUCUCCUUCUUCCACUUAUAUGUUGGGCUGUCACCAAGCUCUUAAAAAUCUCUUUUGCACAGAUUGAGGGAAUCCCUGCACCAGCUAAGAACAUCAUCUUUCCCUUGCAGUCAGAUCUCCUAAUGAAUUCAAGGGCUGCUCAGCCUGUGGGGGGAAAAAAAACCCCAAAACAAAACAAAGCCUGAAUUACGAAGUGCUGGCUGGAACAGAAUAUGAAUCAAUUACCAUCACAAGUAAGUAGAGAUGGGACAUGCAGACAGUUCUUUUGAUGUCUAGUUAGUGUGUGAACAUUUUAGUAUAUUCAAAACAAAACAUGCAAUCAAUCAAUAAAAUCCCUGUCAUUGUCUUGACACUUGCAUCUGUAAAUUCCAGGUGCCUCAGCUAAAUAGAAAGCUAUGUCACAAAUGGCAAGUACUGGCAAACUUCUUAAAGGACUUUUUGUGGAAAUUAGCUAAAUCUGCAGGACUAGCCAUCUCAGCCAGGAUCCUGCGACAAAGUUGUCCCCCCUCUGUGAGGAAGAAGUGGAUGACAUGAAAGUUUAGUGAGAGGAGAACCAGCUUCAAAAAGUGUCUGCUCAUACAGAAGUGACAGAGCAGAAAAAGUGUUAGGUGUUAUUAGAAUUUGGCCAUUAGAAUUAGGCCAGCAAUUUCGCACCUGAACUGUUAUGCCAAGAUCUGUGCUGCUACCAGGGAAGUUGUUUUAUCUCUGUGUUGCUGAUACCAGGAAUAUGCCUAAAAUACUGGCUGGCUUUCAGAAAACAGACUUAAUUCCUCUAACAGAUUGAUUAGUCAAGGACAUUCAGCAAGCUGGUGAAGCCAACACCUAAUUAGCAAUUACAGCUUGCUUCAGUGUUAAUCUGGAGUCUGUUAUGUGACUGAUCCCAGGGCUGCAGCAAGCUUUGUGGAGAGGUCUAUGGAGGGACAAGCUCCCUCCUACAAGAGUUGCAAGAGUCACCUCACACCUGCAGAACUUUGCAACCACAAUACAUCAUGUCUGUCCACCUGUUCCAGAAAGGCUGGUGUUCAGAUAGGAAUGCAAAGGCUUGUAGCAGAAAUAAGCUUGGUAUGAACUAAAUAAGAAUGGAAGUGUUUGUGAAAGCAUCAGCAGAAAUGCAGCAAGGGCUACAAGCAUGGCCUGUGUUGAUAACCAAGACACUCAACAGCGAUCAAAAUGUAAACACUGACAAGUAUGAUGCUUGCAUCAUGAGGCCUGUGCUCCAAUAAGCCACAGUGCAAACAACUCAUCAGCAGAAGAUCUGUGCUCUGUUAGCAGGAGGAUGGUAAUAAGGCUGUAUCACAUUGUGCACACCAUUCCUCUUUCUGCUGUCCCAGCAGGAAGGCAGACUGUGACCAUAAGGAUACUGAAAAUGAGGCAGCAGACAAUGGACAGGCACCUCUCCUCGAAUUUAUGGAGGAGGAAGUAAGAUUCUUAAUGAAAACUUUUCACUGAUGCCCUUAAGUCAGAAAGUUAAGAGAUCUGUGCAAAAACCAGUUCAAGAGACUCAAGAUUAUCAAGAGGAACACAAGAGAUGUAGCAAGGGCUUGAGAGCCAAUGUUUCUUAUUAUUUGUUUCAUACAAGUGAUACUGGCCAGACAACUUGGACAUGUGCUUUGGUGCCCAUGAACAAAGGGGGGUGAGAGUGCAAGUGAAAUCUGUGACAGAAUGAAUGAGUGAUUAUUUUAUUUUUUUUUUUUUAAGAUAAACAUCACCUAAAGUUUCACACUGAGUUCCAUUACAUGCUCAGCAUGUAUCUUGUCUUCCUAAUGCCUUAUGUUCCCCCCCCCCCCACCUUUCCAGUUCAGCACUCUAGCAAGCUCCCCUAAACUGCUGGCCCACAUCAUGGGUAGCUGAGUCAUAAGCUUGUCUUGGAUCUAUGGCUAAAUCACUGCUAGAAAUGCAGAAAAAUGGGCAGCACACAGGUUUGGCUAGAGCAAUUUCCAUCCAGGAAAGAUCAGGCAGUGCUUCAGUGCACCACUAAUUGCCCUCCUCUGAACUCCCUCCAGCUGGUUCACAGAUUUCCUGAAGCAAAGCCCAAACCUGCUACUCCUGCUGUGGCCUUACCAGCACUACAUAGAGCAGAAGCGUGUAUUUCCAUACCUGCAGGAUAAACUGCUGCUCAUACCUUUUUAACUCUUCACAUACAGUUGUGAUUCACUAUAACCUGCAGAUCAUUUCUUGCAAAACUGUUGCCUGAACAACUUAUCUCCACAUGAUAGUCACCACAGUUAACUGCAAUCCUUUGCACUGCUUCUUAUUGCAAUCCCAAGCUUUCUCCAGUUUGUUGAGGUUUUUUUUUUUAAAAACUCCAAGCCUGUUUUCUGUACUGUCUUCUCCCUCCCAAAUUCACAGCAACUUAAACAUACUGUGCAAACCUCAUGAUAUAUUCUUUAUACCAUUAUAUAGGCUGCUGAUGAAAACAUGGAGAGACUCCUGCAGAACUCUUGGCAAUGCAUCCUUUUCUGACAACAAGCCUUUAAUACCUAGUCCGAGUUCAAGUGGGCACAACAGAUUCAGAUAAGCAGGGAUUAGCACAAUUUAGGCAAGAAAAUCCUUGUUCCAGUUUUGCAGGCUGCAUGUCAAGGCAGGCAGAUACCUAAAUGUGUAAAUACAUGCUAAAGUAGGCAAACAUACAAAAUUCUGUUCUGCAGGGCUACAUUGUUAUGGAUUCCUGAGGCUGGUAGUUUGAAAGUGAUUUCAGGGACACUUAUACUAGCUGCAGUCACACUGCAUUAUGUGUAAACAUACUCUUAGAGCAAGUCACUUAGCAAUCUGGCAGCUAAAUGUAAAACCGCACGGGAAGAAAUCAGUCUGCUUUUGCAAAUGUUAGCUAUUGGCAGGCUUAGUACAAAACUAAAUAAUUGUUAGCAAAACAAUGCUCCGAUACAGAAAGUGCAAAAAAGCCCCAAAGUGUGCCCUAAGUAGCUGAAGCAAUAAAGCCUCAUUUCCUUUAUCACUGUGGUUAUCAUCCCUAAUUCCUUCAUCACAAUGCUUGUUCCAUUCCCUAUCUCUGGUGCUUCACCCUCUCAUUAGGAAGGGGGCAACAUGUGCUGCAGCACACACUGAUGCACUAGUGCAGACAUGCUGUUGCAAUUGUGUAUAUGUGUAUAUAUACACACACACCCACCAGGGAACUGCAGAUCACUGGCAAGAGUGCCUGGAGGACUAACAAGUCAUGCCAGUUUUAAACUUUACAACUUUACUAUACUGGCAUUCAUUAAUACCAGUGCUCAUGCUAAUAAUUCUUAUCCAUUAUUAAACAUUAUCACAAUAUAGUAGUUCUUAAGCAUUAUUAUCACUAUGUACUCAAAACAGUCAUUAACAGCUUUAUGCUAAAUUAAAUGAGAGCACACAAUACCACCAAGCUGAUGCUAUAUAGUGCUGAUGGUUGUGGUCCUUGACAGUCUUAGUCACUGAGGUGUUCAGGCCCAAGAGCUCUUCAAUAGCCAAAACCAAAGCAGACUUCCUCUUUCUCCCCCAGCCCUGAACUUGUAUAACAGUUUCUAGAUAAUACCCAGCACUUGGUCUCUGCCUCUGGACCAUCUGCAAGAUAUUUGGGGAAGGGAGGUUACUUUCCCAGGAUCUGGAAGGUUUUCUAUCCUGUUGCUCACUUUUUUUCCUCCCCUUUGCUAACCACCUUCUUCCUUACUUAAAGCAAAAGCAGCCUUUUCCCAGCUCUUGAGGCUGCACUUAGUCAAUAAUCAGUAAUCAACCAUCAAUAAGUUAUUUAUGGCUUUCUCACUGCUUUCAGCCUGUGACCGUAUUUUCAAAGACUUUGCUGGUAUCCUGCCCUUGCAGUGCAUCCUAGCAAGGGGCACCUGGCCCCAAGCUCUGGUUCACAGACAGUUCUCAUAACAAGCUGGUAACUAGUCAGACAGGCCAGGACAAUUGCAAUACUACUUUUACUCAGCCACUGAGUACAAAUAUACUUACAGUCACGCUAUAUUAGUGUGCACAUCUGGGUUCAAAACAGACCAGUAUUGAGGUUUGUUUAGCAUGCUUGCAGCAGAUCUCCACUUUAGCUACUGCGCCACUUGGCUGGGUGCCAAUCACCCUCCUGCAACUCACACCUGGAAGAGCCAUCAACAGUCACACAAGAAGUCACUUCUCCACAAGGACCUUUAAGGAUAGCAUCUCAGACAGAGUUGCAUUGAAGAGCUACCCUGGGACACCCACUGGUGCAUUUCACAGAAGCUUAUCUACAAGUUAAUGCUGACCUGUUGAUCCUGCUGUCUACAUAGCAGCAGUCUGUCCUGAUCCACAGGUCAAACCCCGAACUAAGACAAACUGGUGCAGUUUCAAAGUGAACCUUGGGAUAUGUGAGUGACCUUCUAAAAUAAGCAUUGACAUUUUAACCUUUGGAAACUCCAUUUCUAGGUCCAAGGAAACAAGCUUCCAGUUCUUCUCCCUCCAGCUGCAGAAGAGCCAUCAUUCCAGACAGAGCUUAUCCUGGGUGUACCUAGACACUGUUAUCCCUUUUGCUGCUAUACAAGCUUCACAGUUGUAGUUUUCUGUAGUUUAACAGUCAACAGAUUAGACAAGGGCCCCUUCAGCAUUUGGCACAUUUUCUGGAGUUCCACUUAAAGCAGCCACGCUAAAGGAACAGGUUUCCCUUGGCAGAAAAUAAGAGGCAAAGUUAACUCUCUAUCACUAAUAUCAGUAAGCAACUCUUACAAAGCAAGACUUUACUAGCAAUUUCUCCCCAGCAUUCUGGUUCUUCUGCUGUUGGGACAAAACAGAAAUCAAGUACCUCUAUGAGGCUGCCUCAAUUUAUCUACAAAGCAGAAAAAGGCCAUUCUUGAGCACAUGCUCCCAUCUGACCCAAAGCCACACUCUGCCUUUGCCUUCCACAUCAUUAGCAACCCAAAUGGCAUGGCAGACAGUGGGUUGGAGCCGCAAUUUCGUAAACCACAGCCACUAUUGGACGCUAUUCUUUUCUUGUUGCCAUAAGCUGAGCAAGCAAAUCCAGACUUUGCAACGUCGCAGAGACUGGACACAACACCCAGCAGAGCAAGAGCUGGAUCAGCCAGAGAGGGCCAUGCUGGCCCCAGCAGCACCUGCUCUGGUGGACUCUCUAACUCUACAAAUACAGGGCAGCCCUUUCUACAAAGGCCACAAUGAGGAAAGUUUUCCAAGUGCCAGCCAAUUCCUACUUGUAUAUAGGCUCAAAGGGGGAAGAAGGGGCUCCUAAAUGGAAAGUUGUCAAAGGCAAAAAACACAGUUCAUCUGCAUGGACCAUCUCUUACACUUCCCCUACCAUUCCACUCGCAUUAAGGCUCUACAACAACUAAAAGAGAAGAAAACCCUUCAAAACCACACCUUGGAGAUGCAGAUGGAUUUUUCUACUCAGAAAAUGGGCAAGUUAAACACUGCUAAGAGAAAGCAAUUAAGCUUGGAAGAGACUUUACAAGGAUAGGAGCUCUCAAGAUUUGUUUGUUUUCAUAACCUGAGAGGAAAUAUUGACUUAGUCCUAAGGAUUCAGAGUACCAGUGAUUUCCUAAAAUAAUUGGCCUUCUUCUCAGUUAUUGUUUACUGAAGUGCAGAUCAGAGAUUGCAAUUCCUUACUCUGGACUGGAAUCAAAAACUUUGGUUUUCAAAGAGGUGAUAAACAUGCUUCUCCUGUCUACUCCUAAUGCUGCUGCCUGGUAUCCUACAUGAUAUUGAAGCAAGCCUAACCAGCGGCAUCGAGGGCUACCGGCCGGCAUCCAUCUCCACACUUUGCCAUAACUGUCAGCACCCAGUGCUGGGCAUCCCUGCAAGGAGCUACGGAAAUCCACAGGCCUCGAGGCCUCUCGAGAUCGAGAGCUAUGGAUGCGUACCGAGAGGGAUCGAGGGCUGUGCACGUGGUGCCCCAGCCAUCGGUGGGGAAAUCCACACUCGGCAAGGCCCGUCGGCGUGAAAAACGGUCCGUGUCGAUGGGCUGCGGCGCCUCCCCAGAGCCCCCUCGGCCCCAGAGCAAAAGCUAGGCAUGCCUGCGGAGAACCAGCGGAUUUCGGGCCUCUCGACAGGGUUCGAUAUCGAGAAUCGAUAUCGAGCCCUGUCGAUAGGUCUGGAAUCGGACAGGCAUCGAUGCCGCUCAAGAUCGAGAGCGCCCGAUGUCGAUCCCCUGCCACGGCUCCCACGAGCAAAAUCGGCCCCACAGCAAAAGCCACAGACGCCUGUCGACAGCCAGCGGCAUCGAGGGCUACCGGCCGGCAUCCAUCUCCACACUUUGCCAUAACUGUCAGCACCCAGUGCUGGGCAUCCCUGCAAGGAGCUACGGAAAUCCACAGGCCUCGAGGCCUCUCGAGAUCGAGAGCUAUGGAUGCGUACCGAGAGGGAUCGAGGGCUGUGCAUGUGGUGAUAUCAACAUCGAACUUUGUCGAUAUGUCUGCAAUCGGACAGGCAUCAAUAUCGCUCUGUAUCGAGAGUAUAAAUGUGCAAGAUACCUGCUCUUUUAUAAAGUUUAAGAUUUC